rnacentral:rRNA from 1 species
CAGUAGCCGCGGUAAUACGUAGGGUGCAAGCGUUAAUCGGAAUUACUGGGCGUAAAGCGUGCGCAGGCGGUUAUAUAAGACAGAUGUGAAAUCCCCGGGCUCAACCUGGGAACUGCAUUUGUGACUGUAUAGCUAGAGUACGGCAGAGGGGGAUGGAAUUCCGCGUGUAGCAGUGAAAUGCGUAGAUAUGCGGAGGAACACCAAUGGCGAAGGCAAUCCCCUGGGCCUGUACUGACGCUCAUGCACGAAAGCGUGGGGAGCAAACAGGAUUAGAUACCCCCGUAGUCCCUGUCUCUUAUAA